UACAGAGGUGGCAAGCGUUGUUCGGAAUUACUGGGCGUAAAGGGCGCGUAGGCGGUCUUGUCAGUCCCUUGUGAAAUCCCCCGGCUCAACUGGGGAACUGCACGGGAAACAGCAGGGCUUGAGUUCGGGAGAGGGAAGCGGAAUUCCGGGUGUAGCGGUGAAAUGCGUAGAGAUCCGGAGGAACACCAGCGGCGAAGGCGGCAUCCUGGACUGGUCCUGACACUCAGGAGCGAAAGCGUGGGGAGCGAGCCGG
rnacentral:rRNA from 1 species